GACGAACGCUGGCGGCGUGCUUAACACAUGCAAGUCGAACGGUGAAGGGACCGGUUUUUGCUGGUUCUGGAUGAGUGGCGAACGGGUGAGUAACACGUGAGUAACCUGCCCCCUUCUUCUGGAUAACCGCAUGAAAGUGUGGCUAAUACGGGAUAUUCUGCGCCUGCUGCAUGGUGGGUGUGGGAAAGAUAUUGUUUCGGUGGGGGAUGGGCUCGCGGCCUAUCAGCUUGUUGGUGGGGUGAUGGCCUACCAAGGCGGUGACGGGUAGCCGGCCUGAGAGGGUGGACGGUCACACUGGGACUGAGACACGGCACAGACUCCUACGGGAGGCAGCAGUGGGGAAUAUUGCACAAUGGGCGCAAGCCUGAUGCAGCGACGCCGCGUGAGGGAUGGAGGCCUUCGGGUUGUAAACCUCUUUCGCCAGUGAAGCAGGCCUGUCCCUUUUGUGGGUGGGUUGACGGUAGCUGGAGAAGAAGCGCCGGCUAACUACGUG
rnacentral:rRNA from 1 species